rnacentral:rRNA from 1 species
AUUGAACGCUGGCGGCAGGCCUAACACAUGCAAGUCGAGCGGAUGAAGGGAGCUUGCUCCUGGAUUCAGCGGCGGACGGGUGAGUAAUGCCUAGGAAUCUGCCUGGUAGUGGGGGAUAACGUCCGGAAACGGGCGCUAAUACCGCAUACGUCCUGAGGGAGCAAGUGGGGGAUCUUCGGACCUCACGCUAUCAGAUGAGCCUAGGUCGGAUUAGCUAGUUGGUGGGGUAAAGGCCUACCAAGCCGACGAUCCGUAACUGGUCUGAGAGGAUGAUCAGUCACACUGGAACUGAGACACGGUCCAGACUCCUACGGGAGGCAGCAGUGGGGAAUAUUGGACAAUGGGCGAAAGCCUGAUCCAGCCAUGCCGCGUGUGUGAAGAAGGUCUUCGGAUUGUAAAGCACUUUAAGUUGGGAGGAAGGGCAGUAAGUUAAUACCUUGCUGUUUUGACGUUACCAACAGAAUAAGCACCGGCUAACUUCGUG